rnacentral:rRNA from 1 species
CUACGUGCCAGCAGCCGCGGUAAUACGGAGGAUGCAAGCGUUAUCCGGAUUUAUUGGGUUUAAAGGGUGCGUAGGCCGUUGUACAAGUCAGAGGUGAAAUUGUGGGGCUCAACUCCGCCGCUGCCUUUGAAACUGCAUGACUUGAAUCCUGUUGCCGUGGGAGGAAUGAGUAGUGUAGCGGUGAAAUGCAUAGAUAUUACUCAGAACCCCAAUUGCGAAGGCAUCUCACGAAGCAGGUAUUGACGCUGAGGCACGAAAGCGUGGGUAUCAAACAGGAUUAGAUACCCUGGUAGUCCACGCUGUAAACGAUGAUAACUAACCGCCGGCGAUAUAGUGUCGGUGGCCAAGCGAAAGCGAUAAGUUAUCCACCUGGGGAGUACGACCGCAAGGUUGAAACUCAAAGGAAUUGACGGGGGCCCGCACAAGCGGAGGAACAUGUGGUUUAAUUCGAUGAUACGCGAGGAACCUUACCCGGGCUCGAACGGCAGAGGAAGAGACUCAGAGAKAAGACG